rnacentral:hammerhead_ribozyme from 1 species
AUCCAGCUGACGAGUUCCAAAUAGCACGAAGUACGCGUUCUGGAU